UCCCCAUCAUAAAAAUCCCUCCCGCAAAACACACACAAUCACCUCUCUCCUUUCCCACUAACAGUCCCUCCUACAUCCCCGCUCUCAAAGCACACGCGCCGCCGUCAAAAUGUCGGCUCCGACAAUUCCAAUCUCGAAUCCACAGUCGCAACCUCAAUCUCAGCCACCAAUAGCCACACCAGCACUCCGCGUGUUCCUCUCCCGUCUCUCAUCCUCAAUCCGCCAAGGCUUUUCCCAACGCCGUCCAUGGUCCGAAUUAAUAGACCGAACAGCACUGAUCCGACCCGAUUCAGUAUCUGACGCCGUUUCAAGGAUCCGCCGUAACAUAACCUACUUUAAAGUGAAUUACAUAACCUUACUCGGAUUCGUACUCGCUCUCUCACUGUUAUCUCAUCCGUUCUCACUCGUUGUUCUUCUAGUGCUCCUCGGCGGUUGGAUCUUCCUCUAUUUAUUUCGACCGUCGGAUCAGCCGUUAGUGAUUCUCGGUCGAACUUUCUCUGACCGUGAAACGCUAGGGAUUCUUGUCGUUUUGACUGUCGUUGUUGUUUUCUUGACUAGCGUUGGAUCUCUUUUGAUCUCUGCUUUGAUGAUUGGAUUAGCUAUUGUUUGUGCUCACGGUGCUUUUAGAGUUCCUGAGGAUCUGUUUUUGGACGAUCAAGAACCGGUUAAUUCCGGAUUCUUGUCGUUCCUCGGCGGCGCCGCUUCCUCCGCUGCUGCCGCGGCGGCUCCUGCUGUUGCUUCGCGUGUUUGAUUAAAUUCCGGUUUUCGCGUUUGAUAUGGUUCCAAUUCAUGAAUUGGGAGUCGAUGGCUCGGAUUAGCUUGCGUUGAUAACAAUUGCGUAAGACGAGAGGUCGUAAUCGUUUUCUAGAGAUCGAAUUAGAGCUAAUAGUUGGAAGCUAUUUUCGGCCACCACCUCGCGACUAACAACACAAGCAUUAUCAGAAUUUCUCUCCAUGAAUUCUUCAACCAGUAGCUCAUCUAAUCGGUUCUCGAUGAAGUCGUUAACACUUCGUUCGAUUCUUCUCACCGGAAUUCUCAACAAUGUUAUACUCACGUCAGGAUUUCUCGACAUCCUUGACGCUAGGGAUAAAGCUUCACGGUCAUCUGCCCCGCCUAGAAAAAUAACAGCAAUGUUGCAAGAGAACUGCUCUAAAUUCCGUUGAUUUAAUCCUUUGUCUACGAAGAGCCCAAUUGUACAAGAUGCAUUCAAUUGAAGCUGAAUAUUAAAAUCACGAAUUUGACUGCUUUCCAUACUAUAACCUUCUUGAUUUGCUUGGAACGGAACUAUGAUCAAAGGGAUGUGUUUAUCUCGAGCAUGGUUGCAAAUGAUGUUGUGCAUAGUUCUAUAAGGAGCAAUCAUAGUGAAUGGUCGUAUCGAGACAGGACCUCGUGAGUUACGCGAAUAAUUCACAAAGGCACGCAUAAUGUGAUAUGUGCUAUUAGAUUGAAUUCUCUGCAUCUUCUUGUUGUAUUGAGCUAGCAAUGGAGCUGCUCGCCCGACAAGCUCAAUGGCAUGAAUCACAUAGGCGAAAAUGGGGCUAGCUUCACUUGGGUUGGAGGCUUCUAAUAUAGUAAUAAUGCCGCGGACAUUGUCUUGAGAAUGAACGCAGGCAAGAACACGUAGCUCUUUGAUAUGCGACGCUAGUUGGAGUGUUCUGAAACGUUGUGCCUCAGGAGCCAAGUUAAGUAGUCUUUCUUUAGGUUUAUACCAAAUGUCCAAUACAAUAUUGUAGAUGAUAGUCUUAAAAAGGCUUGACAAUAUUAGUGCAGUAUACACGCCAUUAUCUUGAACCUGCAAAUUGAAAUCGAUGGUUGAAAUUAUUAUUUGUU